ACCACACCUGAUCCUUCAACCACCUCUGCUCCUUCAACCACAUCUCCUCCUCUUCCUCUCUCUAAAUGGUUACCUGCUGUGUGUGUUGGUGUUCUGGUUCUGGUUCUUUUGGUUGGACGACGUGUUCUCAGAAAGUCUGAAGCUGAUGGACCAACAGAAGUUACGUACGCUGACAUCAACAUCCAGCUCCGCCCCCAGCAGCCAAUCAGACGCAGGACAGAUGGAGAUCCAGCUCCAGGUUCUACAGCGAGAAGAGCAGACGAGACGUUUGGACAGAAGACCAUCAGAGACCGAUCCGACAGGAAACACCUGACAGAGGUUCCAGGUCCAGACGUCAUUUACUCCUCCCUGAGGUAGUCCAGCAGCAGCUGCAGAGCUGAGAGGACUCCCACCAUGAAGACCUACAGGAAACGCUCUCUGCUCUCUGCUGUGGUUUCUCUGUCACAAAUAAAGAUCAGGUGUUAAAA